rnacentral:rRNA from 1 species
UUCAGUGGCGAGCUUAACCGAAUAGGGGAGGCGUAGCGAAAGCGAGUCUUAAUAGGGCGUCGAGUUCGUGGGAUCAGACCCGAAACCGAGUGAUCUAGGCAUGACCAGGAUGAAGGUAAGGUAACACUUACUGGAGGGCCGAACCCACACCUGUUGAAAAAGGUCGGGAUGAGUUGUGCCUAGGGGUGAAAGGCCAAUCAAACUCGGAGAUAGCUGGUUCUCCGCGAAAUCUAUUUAGGUAGAGCGUCAUCCGAAUACCCCGGGGGGUAGAGCACUGGAUGGGUAAUGGGGCCCCACAGGCUUACUGAUCCUAACCAAACUCCGAAUACCCGGGAGUACUAGAUGGCAGACACACUGCGGAUGCUAACGUCCGUAGUGGAGAGGGAAACAACCC